GCUUGACAAUGAAUUUAAAUACUUAUAAAUAAUGUGCAGAUUCAAAUACACUAAUAACAAAGAUUUACUCCUACAAUAUAAAGUCUAACACUCACUUCCAAAGCAUAUGAAUAAGGAAUUCAUCUCACUCGCAAAUACAUUAUUUAGUAGAAUAUAUGCAAUUGAAUUCUCAUGUUUAAUAUAUUACAAAUUAUUACCUAGUAUUCAGUGUAAUUCAAAUAAAGAUUGUGUUAGCAACAAAGAAUUGAUUCAAUAUGCCCCUAUUUCCU
rnacentral:misc_RNA from 1 species